rnacentral:rRNA from 1 species
UACGUAGGGUGCAAGCGUUGUCCGGAAUUAUUGGGCGUAAAGAGCUCGUAGGCGGUCUGUUGCGUCGGCUGUGAAAACCCGGGGCUCAACCCCGGGCCUGCAGCCGAUACGGGCAGACUAGAGUUCGGCAGGGGAGACUGGAAUUCCUGGUGUAGCGGUGAAAUGCGCAGAUAUCAGGAGGAACACCGAUUGCGAAGGCAGCUCGCUGGGACGUAACUGACGCUGAGACGCGAAAGCGUGGGGAGCAAACAGG